GAAAUUUAUGUGAAAUAAUUGGAGUAAAAUGUUGAAAACUUAUAUUUUAGCCAUGAAUAUCUUCAGGAAUGAACUGAGUUCAUUUUUAUAUAAACAUUUGUAAUAUAUUAAUUCUGAAUACAGCACCCAUGUUCAAGAAUAAGUCAAUAUUUAUGCCGCUUGGACACUGCUGAGUCCAAUUUAUUUUUUUCAAAGACAGAGCCUUUUGAAUUAUCUUGCAACUAAAAGAGAAAAGAUACAACUGAGAUCAAAUCAGAAAAACAAAAUACAAGAAAGGUCAGACAAAGACGCCUAAAAGAGAUGAAAGAGAGAGGGAAGAAUGAGACAGGGUGUGUCUGAAGAAGGAGGGUUAAUGAGAGUUUGUUUUUGACUACUGUGAGCGUGGCUGGACAAGAAGGAGCCCUUUGUUGUGUUUCAGUGUGAGCUCAUCAUCCAUGUCACUCAUUGUUCUGCUGAAAACAAACAACCCUACACUCCCAGCUACUUCUUGGAGCGGGGCGUGGAGCCGAAGGAAAGGCUAGCUCUGUCUGAGAGUCCAGACUUAACCCAGAUGUGAGGCCACUUACAGUGAUAUAACUGCGCCACUUACCAAGAAGUUCCAGUCUGUGUUGAUACGGUCAGCCAAACCAGUGACGAGCAGAGUGAGGUAAAAAGAGGAGAGGAAGAAGGAGGUGACGGACACAAACAUCACCCAGCCCUGCAGCAGAGGCACGGGCACGUUGGAAGAGGCCACCAGGAUCCAUACCAGAGCACCGAAUAACUAGGAAUAGAAAGAAAUAUCAUUAGAAAAACUCUCCAAAGUGGUGAUUUUGUUUAGAUGUGAUGCCCUUGUCGUUCUUUUGGAUUGGUUUUUGGAAAAAAAAAAAAGUUCCUUUACACUGUUUUUUUUAAACUUUUUAUACCGAAGAUUUACAUAAAAGGAGAAAUGUUCAACUUUUUAAACACAGUAUGCGUUAUUGCAAGAUAGUUGUUAGCUUAAUUAUUAAUAAAGUAGGUUGGGCUGCCAUAAGUUGAUAACACUCCAAACAAUUAGCAUGAAAAAUGAAUGAAUCUUCUUCAGUGAAGACAAGGUGUGUGCAUACUGUAGCAUGAGGUCAGUUUGUAAUCACUGGAUUUUUGCCAGGAUUGUUUUAGGAGUUGGAUAUUUGAGUUGAGAUAUACACUUUUGCCUAUUUUAUCUAGGUUGUGUGAAACAAUGUUGAUUUUUUUCCUUUAAAAAUACAACCUUGUGCCGUGCAUUUUUCUAUUGAGCCUCCUUUAUUACAAUUCCCCUAAAUAAAUUCUGAGGCAAGCCA